AAGUAGCAAAAUGAAAAUACUGAAAUCCAGGGCACCGUGCUCCGUGCAGGUGGGGGGGGUCACGCUGGGUGACUGCAGCAGGAAUGGCUUCCAAGGCUGAUGCAGAGAGACGGACAGAGGGAGAGGGACCAGGGAACCAUAAGGAUACCACCGAGUCCCGCAUUCUACCCUCAGUGUACAUCUCUGCAAUCGCCCCACAGACGGCCACCAAUUGGCACAGAGCAGAGCCACUGCCCUUUGCUAAAAUCCUCUCUUAAGAAAUAUCACAUCCCGACGCCCCCAAGCCCCUGGGCAGAGCGGACAACCUAGUUAAGGGAACAGCCCGAAGAAACCCAGCUGCUCGAUGUUCAUCCACCCAGAAGAGCCUCGUUUCGGUGCUCCCGGAUUUCGACCUUGCUGUAAAAUGCCACAAAGAGGAACUGAGCUUCCAGCUCCCCCCCACCUCGCCACGCCAGGGCUCAGAUCCCCCACGCUGCAAUAACACGUUUUUAGGGAGAGUGGGAGAAAAGAAAGAUAGAAGUGUGGAAAAAUACUCCCCCACCCAAAUCUCCUGUCCCAAAAGAGGAGAAGUGGGAGCACCAACAACAUACAGAUCUAUAUAGCUAGAUUUCAGAAAGUGUCCAUUAAUAUCAAUUUACUUCAAUGAAAACUUUGCUUCUUCAUGAAGUUGAUGAUUUAUGAUAAAAUCAAUUAAAUUACAGCCACUUAGAGCCUGCGGUUUCUUCUCAGAUUUCAUUCGCCAACAGAUCAAGCGCUUGGUAAAAAAAAAAAAUCAAGUUUAGCUGGAGGCGAGUAAAGAUAAUUCUGAAGCUGAGGAAAUUUAAUGCAAAGCAAUUUUCAGGGAAAGGAAAAAAAAAAAAAAACACAGACGCUUGUGUAUCCAAGCUCAUGCUCUCUGCCAAUAUACCAGUUCGCCUCGGGAAAUAUUAGACACUGAGUCAAAACUUUUCCAGUUUCACAAUGUAUGAGGACAUUUUUAGAACUGCCAACUUGUCCAGGGGACUGAGUUAUUAUCUUGUUCUAAAUGGAAAGGAACCAAAGGAGAACAGAGAGCACACACACGUAUAUAUUUAGAAAACUUUCCGCGUUUAAUUCGAUUUCGCCCUCUCUCUUCCACCUCCCCUCCUCCCUCCCCAUGCAACCGAUUUUAUUGUCUCACUCUUGAAAUGAAAUCGGGAGCUCACGGUGUGGGGGAAGAGCGUGGGGGGGGGGGGGGGGGGGUGAAGGAUUUUUGAGCCAGAAACGAACAGCGCAAGUCCGCACUCAAGAUUCCCACGCAAAAAUUCGCCCUCCCGAGCGUUUCCCUUUCAAUCACAGAAAUUGUAUUUGAGCGAAAUGAAACAUUUUCGAGGACACCUCUCUCCCCAGACCAAAACAAACUUUGCCUCUUUUUAAAAGCCUGAUAUUUUCGGGCUCCGCGAGGAGGUCGGACUCCCCGAAUUGCCACCACUUCUAUGACAAAUGUUUUGAGUCUUACCCAUUUCGGUCAAAUGCACUGGACGGCUAAAAGGACGAGCAGCUCAACUAACCAGACGUUUGGUGGUCACAUCUGGCCCCUACAACCAGACCUGGGGAGGGAAACCCCACUAUGGACAUACACAGAGCUUGGGAUUUUUUAUUUAUUUAUUUAUUUAUUUUAUUUUUUAGAAGCCGUUGUAAUUAGGGUCUGCUUCAAGUAAACAAAAACCUCUGUGGGGCCAUAAAUCACCAUCACAUACAUUCUUCAGCUUAACACCCUGCUUUUCCAAUGGGCUUUUGUAGUUUCUUUUUCAAACGAGGGAGGUGCUAAAAUUUUAACAAAUGUGUCCCGGACAAACUUCACGGGUAAACACGCACUUGGAAAGAAACAGUUUGUGGCCGGUCUCGGUUAUGGACCGUGCGAGAUAAUUUUUGCUCAGCUUCAGCUUCCCCAGUCCUGCUCCCGAGGCAUCAGUCUUAAUUUGUUACCAGGAGAAAGUCGGCUAUAGCUCAUGAUGGCCGGUGGAGAAGCCUGUCAAAGCCUUCGGAGCAAUUAAUUAUAUCUCACAGCGUCGGAGCUGAGAAGGUAGGAAAGGCAGAGCUGCAUCAUUCUUUUAUUCAUUUUUUUAACUUCUUACCUGCGUUACUGUCCAACCCAGGACAUCAAGAAGAAGUAGCGAAGCCGGAUCAGGGUGGUGCGAAUUCACAACUGAAGCAGCCAAAUUGUGAAGAAAAGAAACUACUUUAUUGCACCCCGGUGGAUCUUGCUGACAGCUUGCUCGGACGCGAUUUUUUUUUUUCUCCAAAGAAGCUUUGAUUUUUUUGGACUCGCUCGAUUCAAACGGAACUGACUUGACGUGGAGAAAACCAGAAACUCUUCCAAAACAGCUUGAAGUAUUGCAAGGAUACGGCCCCUUUGCAGAGAUACCGAGCGGAGGGGAAUGAAAUGGGGGUGUCGGGAGGGGCAGUUUGCGCUCACAUUCCCCUUAAAAAAAAAAAAAAAAAAAAAAAAAAAGCCCCCAAACCUCCCCCACUCACGAAUCCGUGGUAUCUAUCUGGAAAGCUGUUUCUCUUUAUAAAGACUUAAAAUGUUGCAAGACUGUUAUAAUACUGAGUGACAAGGGGUGCUGGAGAGAAGGGAACCAAAUGGAUUCUGGUUUUUAGAGCCAGUAGGAAUUGGCCAGCCUUCAAUGUCACGAUUCAAAAUUGAUUCCAUAUGUCUCGUCCCGGGAAGGGGAAGAAACGAAUGAAGAAUAGAAAGGAAAGAAAGGAAAGAAAGGAAAGAAAGG